rnacentral:rRNA from 1 species
UGGGGAAUCUUCCGCAAUGGACGAAAGUCUGACGGAGCAACGCCGCGUGAGUGAUGACGGCCUUCGGGUUGUAAAGCUCUGUUAAUCGGGACGAAUGGUUCUUGUGCGAAUAGUGCGAGGAUUUGACGGUACCGGAAUAGAAAGCCACGGCUAACUACGUGCCAGCAGCCGCGGUAAUACGUAGGUGGCAAGCGUUGUCCGGAAUUAUUGGGCGUAAAGCGCGCGCAGGCGGAUUGGUCAGUCUGUCUUAAAAGUUCGGGGCUUAACCCCGUGAUGGGAUGGAAACUGCCAAUCUAGAGUAUCGGAGAGGAAAGUGGAAUUCCUAGUGUAGCGGUGAAAUGCGUAGAUAUUAGGAAGAACACCAGUGGCGAAGGCGACUUUCUGGACGAAAACUGACGCUGAGGCGCGAAAGCCAGGAGAGCGAACGGG